AUUGAACGCUAGCGGCAGGCCUAACACAUGCAAGUCGAACGAGAGGCGGACGGGUGAGUGAUGUCUGGGAGACUGCCCGAAGGAGGGGGAUAACUACGGGAAACGGUAGCAAAAACAGCAUACCAUCGAAUGUCGCCAGAUGGGAUUAGCUGGUAGGUGUGGUAACGCCUCACCAAGGCGACGGUCCCUAGCUGGUGUGAGAGGAUGACCAGCCACACUGGAACUGAGACACUGUCCACACUCCUACGGGAGGCAGCAGUGGGGAAUUUUGCACAAUGGGCGCAAGCCUGAUCCAGCCAUGCCGCGUGUAUGAAGAAGGCCUUCGGGUUGUAAAGUACUUUCAGCGGGGAGGCGUUACCUGCAGAAUAAGCACCGGCUAACUCCGUGCCAGCAGCCGCGGUAAUAC
rnacentral:rRNA from 1 species